GAUGAACGCUAGCUACAGGCUUAACACAUGCAAGUCGAGGGGCAGCAUGGUCUUAGCUUGCUAAGGCCGAUGGCGACCGGCGCACGGGUGAGUAACACGUAUCCAACCUGCCGUCUACUCUUGGACAGCCUUCUGAAAGGAAGAUUAAUACAAGAUGGCAUCAUGAGUCCGCAUGUUCACAUGAUUAAAGGUAUUCCGGUAGACGAUGGGGAUGCGUUCCAUUAGAUAGUAGGCGGGGUAACGGCCCACCUAGUCUUCGAUGGAUAGGGGUUCUGAGAGGAAGGUCCCCCACAUUGGAACUGGGACACGGUCCAAACUCCUACGGGAGGCAGCAGUGAGGAAUAUUGGUCAAUGGGCGAGAGCCUGAACCAGCCAAGUAGCGUGAAGGAUGACUGCCCUAUGGGUUGUAAACUUCUUUUAUAAAGGAAUAAAGUCGGGUAUGGAUACCCGUUUGCAUGUACUUUAUGAAUAAGGAUCGGCUAACUCCGUG
rnacentral:rRNA from 1 species